UUUUUAGUAUAGGUAUGUCCCAUGCCCUAUAUAUUUGGGAUAUAUUUAUACUAAAA
rfam:Myotis lucifugus cont2.83, whole genome shotgun sequence.